UACGUAGGGUGCAGGCGUUAAUCGGAAUUACUGGGCGUAAAGGGCUCGUAGGCGGCCAACUAAGUCAGACGUGAAAUCCCUCGGCUUAACCGGGGAACUGCGUCUGAUACUGGAUGGCUUGAGUCCGGGAGAGGGAUGCGGAAUUCCAGGUGUAGCGGUGAAAUGCGUAGAUAUCUGGAGGAACACCGGUGGCGAAGGCGGCAUCCUGGACCGGCACUGACGCUGAUGAGCGAAAGCCAGGGGAGCAAACGGG
rnacentral:rRNA from 1 species